rnacentral:lncRNA from 1 species
AUGGGUCCCAUAGGGCCAGAAGGUCCAAAAGGUGAUGCUGGAGUCCCAGGGGCCCCUGGCAUUCCGGGAUACUCCUACGGUGGAGGAUCCAGAAGUGCUCCGGGAUCACCAGGUCCACCUGGACCCCCAGGGCCUCCUGGAGCACCCGGUUCAUCGGGUGGCGGUUCACCAGAUGUUGUUCAACAGAUUUCAGACUACCUUAGAAGUGAACCCAUCAGAGAAUACCUGACUGGACCUCCAGGCCCACCUGGACCACCAGGACCUACCGGAUCAGGCUCUGAAGAUUUGCUAGCUAACCGUGUCAUUGAAUACCUUCAAAGAGAUGAGGUGAGGCAGUACCUGAUUGGUCCUCCAGGGCCCCCAGGACCCCCAGGUGUGCCAGGUGGAUAUGGCUUUAACACUCAGGAAGUUGCUGGACGAGUGCUGAGACUGUUGAAUGAUGCUGGUUUCACAGGUCUGCCAGGACCUGCCGGUCCCCCAGGACCUCAAGGACCACCAGGAGGCUCUGGAGGACUAUUGUCUUACGCUGUUAAUGAAAACCAACCACAAAUCCAUGCAGAGCCUCAGGAGUAUAUCAAAAGGCACCCAAGCUCUGAUGAGAAUUUGGAUUACGCAGUCAUCGCUAAAAAGGUUUCAGAUUACAUUAAGUCUCAUGGCCUGUUACAAGGUCAAGAUGGUGUGAUAGGGAUUCCAGGUUCACGAGGUCCACCAGGUCUACCAGGUCCACCAGGUCCAAUAGGAUUCAGUGGACCCCCUGGACGCCCUGGACCUCCAGGAAUCAGUCCAGAACUUCCUUACUCCAACAUGACUGCAAUCAUAGACUACAUCAGAGACCACCGUAUGAUUGGACCACCAGGUAUAACAGGGCAGAAAGGGGAGCCGGGAUAUUCUGGACCAGUAGGACCAAAAGGUGACAGAGGAUUCACAGGUCCACCAGGUACCCCAGGCUUCCCAGGAAUGAAAGGAGAGAAGGGAGAGAAGGGUGAGGCUUCAUAUGUCACUCGGAGGAGGAGGAGGAGGAGCAGUCAUUUAGAAGAGUGCAUUUAGCUGGUGUGCUUUAAGCUGCUAAGGCUUUAAAAAUGACAUGUACAUAUUUAUUCUUUUCUAUUUUUAUUUUUUUGGACAGUGUUAGAUCAAUUUAUUACCGAAAGCUAAAUAUAUUCACAUUGAAUUAACAAGCAUUACAUGAUCAAAUUCACCUUUAUGAUGCCAGUUUUUAAAGAAAAAACAUUUUUGCAAAUGUAUUUUUUCCUCAUCAUGAAAGUCUGGUUUUCUUGCAUGACUGCAGAAUGGGAUUUAACAUAUAAUCUGGGUAUGUGCUUUAAAUUGUGCUUUUUGCCAUUUGCGUUUUUAAACUGCUUUCAUUAGACUUAAAAGUGGCUUGACAUUUAAAUUGAGAAUAAAGAUUGCUUUUUAUUUUAAAGCUGUGACUUACAGACAGACCUACAGUAAUGUUCAUAAACAGAGAGAGACUUGAAUACAGAGACCCAGACAACUGAACUAUUUACCACAAAUGUUUUAAUUACAGCAGCUUCCUAUAAUCACAAUGAUUUGAUCUUUGACACAAACACAGUACAUACAACUGUUAUGCUACUAACUUUACCUCAUCAGUUGAAAAAGCUUUAAAAAAAAAAAGUCUAUGAAAAUGCAAACAGGCGUCAUGAAUGUACUGAGUAUGCGACUACCUGCAGGAAUUCCUUUAUCAGGAGGUGCACGGCACUCUCUGUUCAGUCAAAUGUGCUGUAAAACAUGAGCAAUGCUCUCAGGAUAUCAUAAUGACAAGAAAUUCAUGUUUUGACAUUUGUCUUUUCUCACAGAUUUUAAAUGUUUUGUUCAGUUUUUACAGAUUACGGCACAAAUGUAAAUGCAGUAAACACAUUUAGAACUGUAUGUUGAAAGUUGAGAUGAAAGGAAAUCUAGUACAAAAAAAAGUGCUACAAUAUACAAUACCUGACUGAUUAAAGCCGUGUCGGUUCACAGGACACAUCAUCCUCUAUACAAUUUUACCGAAAAGUACCAUAAUGUAUUGUAGAGGUGUCUGAGUGAAUCUCAAUGAAACUAAAACGCAUGCAUUUGAAAAAACCAUUUGGUAUUUUUUGGAGAAUAAGUAGCAUGGACAUUAUGACGAGAUUGAGCUCUCUUGCUUUGAAG